CUUAUUUUUUAUCUAAUAUAAUUUCUGCUCAAUGAAGAAAUUUUAAUAGCCACUAUAGUGCUAAGGUAGCAUAAUAAUUUGUUUUUUAAUUGAAAAAUUGAAUGAAUGAAUACACUAGAAAUUAAUUGUUUAAUUUUAUUAAAUGUAAUUUUAAUUUGAAUGAAAAAUUUCAAAUUUUUCUUUAAGGCGAUAAGACCCUAUGAACCUUUAUUUUUUUAAAAAAAAAAAAUAAAAAAUUUAUUUGGGGAAAAUUAAAAUAAAAUUAUUUUAAUAAAAAUUGAUCUUUACAAAACUAAAUGAAAAAGGUACCCUAGGGAUAACAGCGUUAUAGUUAUUAAAGCCCAUAUUUAAGUAACUGU
rnacentral:rRNA from 1 species